UAUUUCAAUUAGUCUUUUUCUACUCAUAGUUUUUCACAUGCUCCUUGCUUAUCAGAUCUCUGGCACCAAUACUAUUUCAUCCAACCGAUAUUUAUCUCUCGCAAAAACAAUUUGUAAGUAUCAUGGUUUUGUUUUCCUAAUGAUUUUUGUGUCAAUCAUUUUUCACAGAGAAGCGCAUGUUCGAAGAGUUGCACACCAGCUUCCUAAAGAGUUGCACACCAUGGCAAUUUUAACUUUCUUCUCUUCAGAAAUUAGAACCCCCAUGGCAAUUUUCUUUCACUCUUCACUUAAACCAACAGCAAAAUAGAAAAAGAAAAGAAGCAAAAAAGAAAACAAACGCUGCACAGAAAAUUUAAAUCAAAACUAUACGCUUACUUGAAGGGAUGUAACCCUUCACAUAUUCUAAAUUUUGAGACCAAAGGAAGCACGAAAACAAAAUCAAAUGACUCUUCCGUAGACCACCAAAUAAAGGCAAGAACAACGUCACACCACCAUAAUCAUACAGGAAGAGGGUCAAAUGAAUGGAUUGAUGAUGGCAAUGAGAACAAUAUGCAGGUGGAGGAGGGCAUGAAAGUGACUGAAUCUUAUGCGAUGCCCACUGUUGAAGAUUCUAUAUGAACUAUGACAUGUUUCGAGGCAAUGAUGCUGGCCGAUACAGAAUUUAAAGCUAUAUGGUGGACCAUAUAGCUCCUGAAACAUAUUGUAGACGCAUUUACUGAGAUAGAACCUCACUUGGUAAGUGGAAGAUACUUGCUAUUCUAAUAAUUUUAACUUCUUGAAAGUACUCUUGUGUAAUUGAUUUCCAAGUGAAGUGCCUAUGCAAUUCAAAAGGGUUGAAUGGAAGAAAAACUUAAUUAGUAAGCCGUUAAUCUUUAGAUCUAUUAGUUUCUCUUAUUCAACAUAUGAUGAUGGUCUUCUUUUGAGCUAAACAGUUGUACUUCAUUUAAAGAGAUGACCUUUGUGAUUUUGGAUAUGCUCGGCUCUAUUAUAAGAGUGUUCAACUUGAUGUAUAUUGUAGAGAUACUUGGGCUAAAUGAAUGCUUGGUCAACCUUCUGUAUUUCCUUUACCACACAGAACAUUGAUUCUUAAUUUGCAAGGUGAAUUGGAAUACUUUGUUGAUAACAUCAAUAUGGACA